UGGGGAAUAUUGCACAAUGGGCGCAAGCCUGAUGCAGCAACGCCGCGUGAGGGACGACGGCCUUCGGGUUGUAAACCUCUUUUAGUAGGGAAGAAGCGAAAGUGACGGUACCUGCAGAAAAAGCACCGGCUAACUACGUGCCAGCAGCCGCGGUAAUACGUAGGGUGCAAGCGUUGUCCGGAAUUAUUGGGCGUAAAGAGCUCGUAGGCGGUUUGUCGCGUCUGCUGUGAAAAACCCGAGGCUCAACCUCGGGCCUGCAGUGGGUACGGGCAGACUAGAGUGCGGUAGGGGAGAAUGGAAUUCCUGGUGUAGCGGUGGAAUGCGCAGAUAUCAGGAGGAACACCGAUGGCGAAGGCAGUUCUCUGGGCCGUAACUGACGCUGAGGAGCGAAAGCGUGGGGAGCGAACAGGAUUAGAUACCCUGGUAGUCCACGCCGUAAACGUUGGGCGCUAGAUGUGGGGACCAUUCCACGGUUUCCGUGUCGCAGCUAACGCAUUAAGCGCCCCGCCUGGGGAGUACGGCCGCAAGGCUAAAACUCAAAUGAAUUGACGGGGUCAUAGCUGUUU
rnacentral:rRNA from 1 species